CGGGGGAGGCCGGAUCCUGGGCUGUGUCCCGGCGCCCUGGGCUCCGGGGCCUGCGCUGUGGGAUUCGUGCUCCCGCCCCGCAGCCCCCU
rnacentral:pre_miRNA from 1 species